GGAGUAGCAGAACCUCAGCUUCAAUGGGACCAUCAUUUCAUAAAUGAAGAAACUGAGAUUUAAAGAGGGGAACUACCGAAGGUCACAGAGCGAGUUCGUGGACUUCCCAGAUGACCACCAAGGCGGAAGCGAUGGUGAUGCCCAGGCAGAAGGGAGUUAGGCUGGCCCAGGCUUUUCCUGUAGGCAUAGCCCGCUCCAGGUUCAGCCUUCCCGGACGGCUUUGAGUAGCCUGGCAGCCCUAUAAGGGGAAACCCACCUAUGAGUUGAAGCGAAGCUGGUGCAGAGAGAUGAGCCAAUUGAGCAGGAGACAGUGUCAGCAGCUGUGGGGGUGUCGAGUACUCCCUCCUGCCUGUGGGAGCUGCACCGUGGAGUCUAGCUUGUUAUCCUCCAGAGGCAGAGCCCCACCUCCGUGCCUCCUCUUGGUAUAGGUGGACAGCCAUGGUGGCGGAGGCUGCAGAACUGAGCAGGUGAU